ensembl:lncRNA
UUUUUUUUUUUUUUAAAUUAAGAAAUAAGAUCAGUUUUCCAGAUUUCCUUACUGUAGGAGUCAUUGUAACUUCUCCCAUUUAAAAAGAAAAGAAAAAAAACAAAAACCAACACUUUUUGACAAAUGUUAACAUGCUGGUGUUUUUGAAUUGCAAAAGGCCAGAAUCUCAGCAACUCCAGUUGAUGCAAGCUCAGCUGACCUCAAAGCACUUACAGUAACAUCCUCACCCCAUUCUUCAAGGCCAAGAGAAACCAGUGAGAGUACACAAGAGCUCUGGGAACACAGCAGCUCCUGCACCUAUCUUCCGGCUGAAGUGGAGUCUCUUUGGUAGACAACCACUCCUCACACAAAUUCUCCGAGUUCCCCAUCGAGUUCUACACAGAGAACACAGACUCUGACUAUUUAGUCAGAACCACACAUAACUAUGACUGUCUUCAAAUUCAUCAGACCAAAACAUUCUGUUGAGAUAAUUUCUUAAACUCAAUUUAUCAUCAAACUGUUCUAAGGAUCCUACCUGGAAGAGCUUGAAGGACAGUUUCAGCUUCUGAAUAUCCCCUUACAGAUGAAAGUUCCUAUCUCGCUGACUUUUCUAAUACAAAGGUAAACACCAUAUUCUGGCAGACUUCUAGUGGUAGCCAGAUUCCUGUGUAGGACAAAUUCUUUUUUUCCUCUAACAGCUCUAAAAGCAUGUAUUUGAAAGGAAUUUACACAUUCUUGAUUAAACAUUGCUGAAUACAAGUGACAAGUAACCUGCAUGUAGUUUGAUCUUUACCAAAUAAAGUUGAAACUCACUAUAUUAGAUAUGCAAUGUAGUGAUUUUCUUUUAAGGUUUUCUUUCCACUAAAUGCACAGUACAGACCACAGUGCACUUGCUAUAUAAGCUAUUUAAUGUCUCUAUUACCUGGAAAUAUCAAUCCAAUUUUCUAUUUGGGGAGCCAUUCUACACAAUUAUGAUAAAAUUGAGUGCUUUUUUCUCCUCUGUGUACAGAAAUAAUCUUUUGGCCUGUGGCUCCAACUUGCUCCUCUACGUUUCUUGGCUAUUUCUAAAAUCGUAUUUAUUACAGCUGUGGAAUUGAUUUUGUGCCCUGCAAUUAUUGCUGGGUUUGCCACUCACCAUGUCUAGUCAUCAUUUAGGUAGGCAAAUAUCCUCCAUCUGGAGACAGAGCUAUAAAUACAGAUAAGUGAAAAGACUUACAAUGUGAGCAACUGCAAGCCAAUGAUGAAUUGAAAGCAGCCUCGCCAUGAGGUCUCAAAGCAAAUAAAGAAAUGUAUGACUUCUAGAACGGAUUUGCACUUUCACUUUGAAACCUCUAAUAUCACCUUCCUGGCACCUUGCAGCAACUUCUAUGUACAACCAAAUCAUCACAGCAAAUAAAGAGGCAAAUAUUUCCUAAUAAUACAAGUUGUUCUUCUGAAGUUGACAGGCUUGCUCAAGAGAGGUGAAUACUAACUUGUUAAAAAGUUAACAAUCUGCAACAUCCUUCACUACACAAAGCUUCAGGCAGAAUGUCUGUCAGCAAAACAUAAACUCAUCUCUGCUUUAUCUUAGAGGGAGAACUACUCCUAGCAAAGCUUGAUCAGUCAUUACGCCUUGUUCUUCGUUCACUUCACAUAGAAACUUCUCUCCAGACUAUGCAAUUCGACAAUGAUAAGUCCAAAACUAUCAGGUACUGCUUGACAGAACCAGAGAGAACCACCUGGUUCUUUGAAAAGAAAAGUGAAAAGAUGUCUGAGUCCUUUUCUUCCCAUCCUUUCCAAAAUAAGAUUGAAAAAAUGAGAAUUUAAAGGUGGGUGGACAAAAUCAAUUAUGCAAAGUAUCAAGAACUAGUAACACAAAUAAAACUCUAUACUUACUGGAGAAGAGAUAAUAUAUAUUAAAUUUGCAAAGCUUUUAAAGCAGGAGAACUUUUGAUAAUACUAAGAUCCAAAUCUCAGGAGAAAAACUAAUAAUCAAGAACUGAACACCCCUGUACACACACACAAAAAAAUUAUAUUUACAUAUAUUAUAUAUAUACUAUACUUUAUACCUUACAGAUCUACAGUUGCUAAGCUUUGGCCUCUUAACAACACAGGAUCACUAAGUGCAAUUUUCCUAAAACAGAAUGAUGUGUAGCUCUAUUAUUUUAAAUUUUAAAAACAACACCACAGCUAUUUUCCUGGAAAGUGCAUUUUAAUACUGGGAAAUGUCCCCCCCCUCAAAUCUAAGAGCAAUUCA